AUCUAUAAUAUUAUUAUUUUUUUUAUUUUGUUAAUUGCAAGUCUAAAAGCACCACACACAAUUCUUUUGGUAAUGUGAAUUGCAUUAAGC